AAGCCUAAAGAGCAGCUUCCUUGUUCCACAUGUUCCGUCAGAAGGAAGGAGGCGUCUUUCUGAAACCCGCCAAAUUAAAACCAACGCAGACGUGCAAAACCCUCAAAGAUGAGAUGUUACGUGUCCACAGUGGGACCAGUGCUGUCUGUGGGGAAGUGUCAGUCAAACUGGAAUGAGGCCAAUAAGAUGGAGAAGGGUCAGGAUGGAGGAAAGCGGUCCAGGAGGAACUCUGACGCCAUGUGAGGAACCCGGUGACCAGCUCGUGUCUGAGCUGCUGAGGACGGUGGAGCUGCAGGUGACUCAAGCCCAUUCCCUUUCUAUCAGACCGGCCGCCACCUACUGGAGCGUGUCCAGGCAGAGACGUGCUGUGUGGGACGGUGCAGCGGUGGAGGUCCUGGGUGGAAGCGAAGCUGCUCAUCUGAUUUAAGUCUUAUCGAUCGCAGCGCUGGGCAGUAAUACAGAGCGAGACGUGAUUAGUCUGAGCCAUUCUGCUCACAUGUUUCAGUGGACGAUUUUCUUUAGUUUCUGUUGCUUCAGUUUGAAAAUAUUAUCGACGCCAAAUGUUGUUGGCUUUAAGUGAAAUCAGCAUCCAAAAUCAAUUAAAUGCUGGCAGUUCACACCAGGUUUUAUUUACUUCAGUGGAAGAAGAAAUCAAAGCCUUUAAAGCAAAAGUGGAA
rnacentral:lncRNA from 1 species